CAAUAGCGUAUAUUUAAGUUGUUGCAGUUAAAAAGCUCGUAGUCGGAUUUUGGCUGAGAACGAUCGGUCCGCCGUUAGGUGUGCACUGAUUGGUCUCAGCUUCCUGGUGAGGAGGUGUGCUUCACGGCCACUUAGUCACCGUGGUUACUUUGAAAAAAUUAGAGUGUUCAAAGCGGGCUUACGCUUGAAUAUAUUAGCAUGGAAUAACACCAUAGGACUCCUGUCCUAUUUCGUUGGUCUCGGGACGGGAGUAAUGAUUAAGGGGAACAGUUGGGGGCAUUCGUAUUUCAUUGUCAGAGGUGAAAUUCUUGGAUUUAUGAAAGACGAACUUCUGCGAAAGCAUUUGCCAAGGAUGUUUUCAUUGA
rnacentral:rRNA from 1 species